rnacentral:rRNA from 1 species
AACGAACGCUGGCGGCAUGCCUAACACAUGCAAGUCGAACGAGACCUUCGGGUCUAGUGGCGCACGGGUGCGUAACGCGUGGGAACCUGCCCUUAGGUUCGGAAUAACUCCCCGAAAGGGGUGCUAAUACCGGAUAAUGUCUUCGGACCAAAGAUUUAUCGCCUUUGGAUGGGCCCGCGUUGGAUUAGCUAGUUGGUAGGGUAAAAGCCUACCAAGGCGACGAUCCAUAGCUGGUCUGAGAGGAUGAUCAGCCACACUGGGACUGAGACACGGCCCAGACUCCUGCGGGAGGCAGCAGUGGGGAAUAUUGGACAAUGGGCGAAAGCCUGAUCCAGCAAGGCCGCGUGAGUGAUGAAGGCCUUAGGGUUGUAAAGCUCUUUUACCCGGGAUGAUAAUGACAGUACCGGGAGAAUAAGCUCCGGCUAACUCCGUG